GACAGAGGUGCCGAGCGUUAGGCGGAAUCACUGGGCUUAAAGCGUGUGUAGGCGGAUUCCUAAGUACCUUGUGAAAUCCCACGGCUUAACCGUGGAACUGCUUGGUAUACUGGGUGUCUUGAGCCAACUAGGGGCGACCGGAACAAACGGUGGAGCGGUGAAAUGCGUAGAUAUCGUUUGGAACGCCAAUGGUGAAAACAGGUCGCUGGGGUUGUGCUGGACGCUGAGACACGAAAGCCAGGGGAGCGAACGGGG
rnacentral:rRNA from 1 species